GCUUGCUGCGAGUGUCCCUGCAGUGUCAUUCACAGCGGCCGCAAAGUACAAGCACCCCUUGUGACCACUGGCUGGUGGAUGGAUGCCCGGGAGGUGGCACGUGCACAGCGGGUGGUGUCGGGGUGCCCCUUGCUGCAGGCUGGAGAGACAGGCCGUGCGGCACGAGUCCACGAGCAGCACCUGCACAACAGGGCCCCUGAAGUGCAGCAAAUGGUGUUUCUCCAGAUUCACAACCACCCAAACCUGAGAACGUGAGCUUCCUGGGGAGGAGGCCUGCUACAGACGGAUCACAGUUAGGGAUCUCAAGGCACAUUCCUGCCUCGGGACCUUUGCACCCACAGCCCAGAGCCCUGCGGCGCACUCCCCUACUGCAUUCUAGCAGGUUCCUGUAUCUCUGCUUAGAGAUACCCCCUGCUCCACCCUGUCUACAAAAGCCCACCCCACCCCAGCUCCACACACGUUUGUGAUGGAAAGACGGUGUCGGCCGUCCCCUGGCAAGCCCUGUGAAGUCAGAGAAGCUGUGGAGACCUUCUGGUUCCUUAGGCGAUGGGAUACGCC
rnacentral:lncRNA from 1 species